GGCGAGUGAAGCGGCAACAGCUCAAAUUUGAAAUCUGGCCCCCCGGGCCCGAGUUGUAAUUUGCAGAGGAUGCUUUUGGCGCGGUCCCCUCCGAGUCCCCUGGAAUGGGGCGCCACAGAGGGUGAGAGCCCCGUAUGGUCGGAGACCAAGCCUUUGUAAAGCUCCCUCGACGAGUCGAGUAGUUUGGGAAUGCUGCUCAAAAUGGGAGGUAAAUUUCUUCUAAAGCUAAAUACUGGCCAGAGACCGAUAGCGCACAAGUAGAGUGAUCGAAAGAUGAAAAGCACUUUGAAAAGAGGGUUAAACAGCACGUGAAAUUGUUGAAAGGGAAGCGCUUGUGACCAGACUUGCGCCGGGCGGAUCAUCCAGCGUUCUCCGCUGGUGCACUCCGUCCGGCUCAGGCCAGCAUCGGUCUCCGGCGGGGGACAAAAGCUCCGGGAACGUGGCCUCUCCUCAGAGGUGUUAUAGCCCGGCUGCAGAAUACCCCGCCUCGGGGACCGAGGACCGCGCCCUCCGGGGCAAGGAUGCUGGCGUAAUGGUCAUCAGCGACCCGUCUUGAAACACGGACCAAGGAGUCGAGCAUUAGGGCGAGUGUAUGGGUGUAAAACCCGCACGCGUAAUGAAAGUGAACGUGGGUGAGAAGCUUUUCUUUCACGAGAAGCCGCAUCAUCGACCGAUCCUGAAGUCUUCGGAUGGAUUUGAGUAGGAGCCUUAACGCUCGGACCCGAAAGAUGGUGAACUAUGCCUGGAUAGGGUGAAGCCAGAGGAAACUCUGGUGGAGGCUCGCAGCGGUUCUGACGUGCAAAUCGAUCGUCAAAUUUGGGC
rnacentral:rRNA from 1 species